rnacentral:rRNA from 1 species
UCGACGGCAGCACAGUAAGAGCUUGCUCUUAUGGGUGGCGAGUGGCGGACGGGUGAGGAAUACAUCGGAAUCUACUCUUUCGUGGGGGAUAACGUAGGGAAACUUACGCUAAUACCGCAUACGACCUACGGGUGAAAGCGGAGGACCUUCGGGCUUCGCGCGAUUGAAUGAGCCGAUGUCGGAUUAGCUAGUUGGCGGGGUAAAGGCCCACCAAGGCGACGAUCCGUAGCUGGUCUGAGAGGAUGAUCAGCCACACUGG